UACGUAGGCAGCAAGCGUUGUUCGGAGUUACUGGGCGUAAAGGGUGCGUAGGCGGUUGUUUAAGUUUGGUGUGAAAUCUCCCGGCUCAACCGGGAGGGUGCGCCGAAUACUGAAUGACUCGAGUGCGGGAGAGGAGAGUGGAAUUCCUGGUGUAGCGGUGAAAUGCGUAGAUAUCAGGGGGAACACCGGUGGUGUAGACGGCUCUCUGGACCGUAACUGACGCUGAGGCACGAAAGCGUGGGUAGCAAACAGG
rnacentral:rRNA from 1 species